ACAGAGUGAGACCCUAUCUCCAAAACAAACAAAACAAAACAAAAAACAGCAAAUAAAAAAAAACAAAUAUGACACUAAAAGUAUUUUGUAGGAGGCCAGGGGUGGCCCCAGGUGAGGCUGAGGGGUAGGUAGAGUUAGAUCAAGGAGGCUUGGAUGCCACACUAAGGAGACAAGAUGAUUCUAAAAAUAACAAGGAAACUGUCAGGAUUUUAACAGGGGAGUAACCAGGCUGCAAUGUGGAGGAUGGAUUUUAAGGGGUGACCAUCUCAAUUCUCAACAGGAAAACCAAUUAAGAUCCUGUGGAAAUGGUCCAUAUAGGAGGAAUUGAUAAUAUGACAUUGGUAAGUGGAGGUAGGGGUGGAAAGGAAAAGACCGAUUGAAGAAAUAUUUAGAUGAUACUUUCUGUAGAACUUGGUGACCAUGUAAGUAUGGGGAUUGCAGAAAUGGCUCCCUGAUGUGAACAGAGAGGAGCAUCCUGAACUGAAACAGGAAAUCUAAAAGGAGAAACAAAAGGCCCAGUGACCAAAAUAAGCUCUGUUCUUGAUCGUCCAAUGGAAAUGCUUGGCAGAUCCUACAUCUAUCAUUGCUUAUGACACAAUAUAUUGAAACGAUGGGUUUACAUGGCUUACCCUCCUGCCUGACUAAAAGUCAAAUGGCAAGGUCAUGUCUUAUUUGUCCUGUAUCCUCAGGGCUGCCUACCCCACCCAAGCUCUGGGAGAGGUCUGCCUGCAGCACAGGUGACAGGAAAGCCAUCGAUGGUUGAGAUCUCCCAGGGAGAGGAGAGGAGACUGAGAAAAGCAGUGACAAGCAAGAAAAAGAUAUUCACACCUGGGCACAAUCUGAUAAACAGAUUGGGAGGAGCAGUGCAGCACUGUGUGAUUCACACUGCGAAUGAGGGGAAAAGGAGAGGUGGAGAGAGAAUGAACCUGGAGUCACAUGAAAUGCAGCCAGAUUGAGCCCUCUGACGCGAACGUUUCAGCACAUGCAAGGGAGUUUUGUGGAGGUUCUUAUUUCCCCCUCCUUGAGUCUGGGCUGGCCAUGUGGCUGUUCAACAACAGGAAGCAGAGAAGUGUACUGUGCCGCCCGGGGCCCAGGCUUUUAGAGAACUGUGGCUUUCUCUGCCUUCUUCUUGGAAUCCGGUUACCAUGUUGAGAGGGGCCCAAGCCACAUAGAGGCCAACAGCCAAGUAUUUGCAGCCAUCUGGGUGAGCCAUGUAGGACAUUCCACACCAAUAAGACCCCCUGGAUUGCAGCAAUGGAGCAGACUCGUGGAGCAGACACAGCCCAGCGAAGGCCAGUAUCGCAGGUCAGAACAAAAUGUUUUAAGCCAUUAAAUUUUGGUGUGGCUUGCUCUGCGGCCAGAGAUAACUGAAAUAGGUGUAACCGAAAAGUCCGUAAGAAGGAAGAUUUACCUUGCUAACCAAUGCAGAAUCACAAAGCACGUGAAAUAACAUUUGCUGAGUCAGAAGACCACUGUCUGGAACAGGUGAUGACAUCCUUAGCCUUUAGUAGGUUUUGCCUUCAAAACUGACCCCGGCUUUCAAGCCUCUUUUUGAUGCUCAACACGGACAAUUUCAAAAAGAAAAAAUUUCACUUUAAUCCAGCCUCACCCCCACAUGUGUGUUUCACACAGACCAUCUUUUUUAAACAGAGUUUAUUGUAUUUAAUACAUUAUAAAAUUUGAAAAAUUGUAGGAAAGCAGCAGACUUGAACUGGAGCAAUUCUAACAAGGAAUAAUUCUGGCCCCUUGGCAAAACUGAUCAGUUUUAAAACAAAGUAAAGUUCACAUCUGUGAGGUGGACAAAAAAGUGUGACUUCUGUACAAACUACAUGUAAAAUUUCAUGUCUAACAUCUUUGCAAUGUGCUCAUGAGGGUUUUUCUGAAGUCCCGCCUGGUCCCAGCCUAAAGAGGGACGUGGAACCUCCAUAUACAAAAAAACUGGAUUCAAGGUGUUUGGUUUUUUUUUUCUUUUUUAAAAAAAAGGAAAAAGAAAGACAAAGGAAAAAGAAAGAAUGGAUGGCUGUUGGCAAUGGAAACUGUAAGGAGACUGUGUCCUCACCGCUCAUGGCUUGUUUAUUAGUCAGAGACCUCGGGAGGCCUACGACACUUCACGGCCAUCACAGCACCAACUGCGGCUAUCACCUUUUUUCUUUUUUGCAUUUCCUACCUUUUGACAUAUAUAUAUAUAUAUAUGUAUAUAUAUAUAUUUAUAUAUUUUUUACACCUUGAGGAUAUCACUAUUCCAAUUGUUCCCAUAUGAAUACAGGUGUGGUCUCUAUUGGAUAUAAAUGUGUCUUUUAUUCGAUUUUAGGUCCAGGACUUGGUUUGCUGUUCCAACUGCACAUAAAUGUCCCUUUUUUGUUUGUUUGA